UACGUAGGGUGCGAGCGUUGUCCGGAAUUACUGGGCGUAAAGAGCUCGUAGGUGGUUUGUCGCGUUGUCCGUGAAAACUCACAGCUCAACUGUGGGCGUGCGGGCGAUACGGGCAGACUGGAGUACUGCAGGGGGAGACUGGAAUUCCUGGUGUAGCGGUGGAAUGCGCAGAUAUCAGGAGGAACACCGGUGGCGAAGGCGGGUCUCUGGGCCGAUACUGACGUGAGGAGCGAAAGCGUGGGGAGCGAACAGG
rnacentral:rRNA from 1 species